CCUACGGGAGGCAGCAGUGGGGAAUAUUGGACAAUGGGGGGAACCCUGAUCCAGCCAUGCCGCGUGUGUGAAGAAGGCCCUCGGGUUGUAAAGCACUUUCAGUGAGGAAGAACGCCUGGUGGUUAAUACCCAUCAGGAAAGACAUCACUCACAGAAGAAGCACUGGCUAACUCCGUGCCAGCAGCCGCGGUAAUACGGAGGGUGCGAGCGUUAAUCGGAAUUACUGGGCGUAAAGCGCGCGUAGGUGGCUUGAUAAGCCGGUUGUGAAAGCCCCGGGCUCAACCUGGGAACGGCAUCCGGAACUGUCAAGCUAGAGUGCAGGAGAGGAAGGUAGAAUUCCCGGUGUAGCGGUGAAAUGCGUAGAGAUCGGGAGGAAUACCAGUGGCGAAGGCGGCCUUCUGGACUGACACUGACACUGAGGUGCGAAAGCGUGGGUAGCAAACAGGAUUAGAUACCCCAGUAGUC
rnacentral:rRNA from 1 species